CUACGUGCCAGCAGCCGCGGUAAUACGUAGGUGGCAAGCGUUGUCCGGAAUUAUUGGGCGUAAAGCGCGCGCAGGCGGAUUGGUCAGUCUGUCUUAAAAGUUCGGGGCUUAACCCCGUGAUGGGAUGGAAACUGCCAAUCUAGAGUAUCGGAGAGGAAAGUGGAAUUCCUAGUGUAGCGGUGAAAUGCGUAGAUAUUAGGAAGAACACUAGUGGCGAAGGCGACUUUCUGGACGAAAACUGACGCUGAGGCGCGAAAGCCAGGGGAGCGAACGGGAUUAGAUACCCCGGUAGUCCUGGCCGUAAACGAUGGGUACUAGGUGUAGGAGGUAUCGACCCCUUCUGUGCCGGAGUUAACGCAAUAAGUACCCCGCCUGGGGAGUACGACCGCAAGGUUGAAACUCAAAGGAAUUGACGGGGGCCCGCACAAGCGGUGGAGUAUGUGGUUUAAUUCGACGCAACGCGAAGAACCUUACCAGGUCUUGACAU
rnacentral:rRNA from 1 species